rnacentral:lncRNA from 1 species
GUUUUUCCCAUGCUGUUCUCGUGAUAGUGAAUAAAUCUCAGGAGAUCUGAUGGUUUUAUAAAGGGCAGUUGCCCUGCACAUGCUCUCUUGCCUGCCACCAUGUAAGAUGUGCUUUUGCUCCUCCUUUGCCUUCCAGCAUGAUUUUGAGUCCUCCCCAGCUAUGUGGAACUCUGGCUUCGUGAAAGGAGAUGGAAAGUAGAAGGAAGGGGAAAAGGACUUCUUUCUCUUUCUUGCUGUUCCUACCAGAAUCACACUAGCAGUUGGUUUCGGCCUCCAACUUCCUUUGGCACCAGUGUUUCAGAGGUAUCAGCACCAGCCAAGUGGCAAUCUCUUUUCCUAGCUCCAUGGAGGUCUUCUUCCAAAGGUCUCUUGCUUCUGAUCCCAUUCAGGAUACCACAACUAAGCAGAAACUUACUUUCCUCAGGCUCCACUUGUCUGUGACAAGUUUCUCAGACUUUCUUUGCUUUCGAUGACCUUGACAGCUUUGAAGAGUAUUGAUCAGAUAUUUUAUAGAAUGUGCCUCAAUUGUAACUUGUCUGAUGUUUUUGUCAUGAUUAGUCUAAAGUAAUGUGUUUUGGGGAGGUAAAGUACCCCUCUCAUCACAUCAUAUUAAAAAUACCUCUGUUGACAUGACUGAUUGCUAUUAAUGUCAAUUUUAACCACCUUGCUGAGAUAGUGCUUCUCAGCCUUCUCCACUUUUCCCCCUUUCCAUGCUGUAUUCUUUGGAAGGAAGUCACUAUGCAC